rnacentral:rRNA from 1 species
CACGCUGUAAACGAUGAGUGCUAGGUGUAGGGGGUGUCAUGCCUUCUGUGCCGCAGUAAACGCAAUAAGCACUCCGCCUGGGGAGUACGGUCGCAAGACUAAAACUCAAAGGAAUUGACGGGGGCCCGCACAAGCAGCGGAGCAUGUGGUUUAAUUCGAAGCAACGCGAAGAACCUUACCAGGGCUUGACAUCCAUCUAAUUAACUGGAAACAGAUAAGUGCCCUUCGGGGAAAGAUGAGACAGGUGG